AGAACGAACGCUGGCGGCAGGCUUAACACAUGCAAGUCGAACGGUUGUAGCAAUACAGCAGUGGCAGACGGGUGAGUAACACGUGGGAACCUUCCUAGGGGUACGGAACAACUCAGGGAAACUUGAGCUAAUACCGUAUACGUCCGUGAGGAGAAAGAUUUAUCGCCCCUAGACGGGCCCGCGUAGGAUUAGGUAGUUGGUGAGGUAACGGCUCACCAAGCCUACGAUCCUUAGCUGAUCUGAGAGGAUGAUCAGCCACACUGGGACUGAGACACGGCCCAGACUCCUACGGGAGGCAGCAGUGGGGAAUCUUGGACAAUGGGCGCAAGCCUGAUCCAGCCAUGCCGCGUGAGUGAAGAAGGCCUUCGGGUUGUAAAGCUCUUUUACCAGGGACGAUAAUGACGGUACCUGGAGAAUAAGCCCCGGCAAACUUCGUGCCAGCAGCCGC
rnacentral:rRNA from 2 species